UAGGGAAUCUUCGGCAAUGGGGGCAACCCUGACCGAGCAACGCCGCGUGAGUGAAGAAGGUUUUCGGAUCGUAAAGCUCUGUUGUAAGAGAAGAACGUGUGUGAGAGUGGAAAGUUCACACAGUGACGGUAACUUACCAGAAAGGGACGGCUAACUACGUGCCAGCAGCCGCGGUAAUACGUAGGUCCCGAGCGUUGUCCGGAUUUAUUGGGCGUAAAGCGAGCGCAGGCGGUUUAAUAAGUCUGAAGUUAAAGGCAGUGGCUUAACCAUUGUUCGCUUUGGAAACUGUUAAACUUGAGUGCAGAAGGGGAGAGUGGAAUUCCAUGUGUAGCGGUGAAAUGCGUAUAUAUAUGGAGGAACACCGGUGGCGAAAGCGGCUCUCUGGUCUGUAACUGACGCUGAGGCUCGAAAGCGUGGGGAGCAAACAGG
rnacentral:rRNA from 1 species